GGAUUGCCUCAGUAACGGCGAGUGAAGCGGCAACAGCUCAAAUUUGAAAUCUGGCCUCACGGCCCGAGUUGUAAUUUGUAGAGGAUGCUUCGAGCAUGGUCUGGCCUAAGUUCCUUGGAACAGGACGUCAUAGAGGGUGAGAAUCCCGUAUGCGGCCAGGUGCCUACGCUCAUGUGAAGCUCCUUCGACGAGUCGAGUUGUUUGGGAAUGCAGCUCAAAAUGGGUGGUAAAUUUCAUCUAAAGCUAAAUAUUGGCCAGAGACCGAUAGCGCACAAGUAGAGUGAUCGAAAGAUGAAAAGCACUUUGGAAAGAGAGUUAAACAGUACGUGAAAUUGUUGAAAGGGAAGCGCUUGCAACCAGACUUGCGCGCGGCCGAUCAUCCGGUGUUCUCACCGGUGCACUCGGUCGCGCUCAGGCCAGCAUCGGUUUUGGUGGUUGGAUAAAGGCCCUAGGAAUGUAGCUUCUCUCGGGGAGUGUUAUAGCCUAGGGUGCAAUGCAGCCCACCGGGACCGAGGACCGCGCUUCGGCUAGGAUGCUGGCGUAAUGGUUGUAAGCGACCCGUCUUGAAACACGGACCAAGGAGUCUAACAUCUAUGCGAGUGUUUGGGUGUCAAACCCAUACGCGUAAUGAAAGUGAACGGAGGUGAGAACCCUUAAGGGUGCAUCAUCGACCGAUCCUGAUGUCUUCGGAUGGAUUUGAGUAAGAGCAUAGCUGUUGGGACCCGAAAGAUGGUGAACUAUGCCUGAAUAGGGUGAAGCCAGAGGAAACUCUGGUGGAGGCUCGCAGCGGUUCUGACGUGCAAAUCGAUCGUCAAAUUUGGGCAUAGGG
rnacentral:rRNA from 1 species